rnacentral:tRNA from 1 species
GCGGGCGUGGCGGAAUGGUAGACGCGCCAGCCUUAGGAGCUGGUAGGGUUAUCCCUGUGGAGGUUCAAAUCCUCUCGCCCGCACCA